AGCCAGUGUGGCACAGUGGUUCGCGUGUCAGACUAGGACCUGGGAGACCAGGGUUCAAAUCCCCACUUGGCCA